GUGCCACGUAGCAAGAAUCACUUUAUUCUUCUUCAUGCAAUGAAUCUUUUCUAAUCCAUUUGCUUAAGUUUCUGGGUUUUUCUUUAUCUUUUCUGAGGUUGAACUUCCUUAUUGCACCUUGUUUGUUGAACAUAUUACAAAGCAGGUGUCUACACACACAGAGUUGUGGAGAGACAGAGUAAUGUGAGAGCUGAAUUCUAGGCUAUGGGAAAAAAUAACUUCAUUGUAUUAUGUAUGGCUUGAAUGGAAAAACCAGAAGAGGAAAUGUCUUUGUUAUGAUAACUGCUGAGGUUUUUCCUCUCCUUUAAUAGCCCUAUCAGUGGAGUCAGCUGUGAUUAAUAUGUCUUGUGAAUGGAAUAAGAACUAUAAAAAUGUCCCAGUUCAGAAGUCUUGUUAACUAGCCAAGCUAUUGUUUUUAUUUUGUUGUUUCAAAUGUACAACUUCCAAAUGGUGUUGAAUGAGGCUUUUGGUGGACUUGCUUUUUAUGAUUUUGUUGAAUUUUUUUCAACCAUGGCUGAAUCAUAGCGGGUAAAAGCUGCACCAGAGUUGUUUAACAAGACCAGUUUGUAGGGAAAACAUCAGGUAGGAAGAAGUCUCUGCUUGAUAUGAAUGUAUAAUAAUGCAAGUCUCAUCUGGAGAAAGGCAGCGUCUAAUAAGGAUAAUAGAGAAGUACGACCUGUGACUCUAUCCAGGGGCUACUUCUACUAAAGUAAUUAUUGUAAAGCUUAUUUAUUUAUUUCAGCAAGGUCUUUAUCAAGUUUCUAUCUUUCUUUAAGUCUUGCAGUAGUGAGAGAUGUGUGAACGCUUUUGAAUUCAAUGCAUGCUGGUGUGUUUGGGUUGAUGUUUGAGUUUUGAAGAAUCAAAUUCUCAAAGAUGUUAGCUCUACGUAAAAAGCUUUCAGGCUUUUGUCAGCAGCUGUACAAAGAAGAAAAUACCCGAAUUCUUACCUACCUGCCUCCUCACUUGUGAGGCUGUCGGCUGCUUCAAAGAUCCGGACUUGGGCUUGGAACUGCAGCCUUCUUGACACAAAUAGUCAACCAAAAUCUUUGAGAACUUCAAAGUAGACUUUCUCCUGCUUCUCUCAUUUGCAGCAUGACUUAUUUAGUUUUUUUUUUUUUUUUUUUCUGAGGCUCGUCUGCUAGAAACAGAAUUGACGUAAAAUAUGAACAGAGAGAAGGAGAGUGAAUGAAGUGCUGGAAAGCUGCAGUAUUACAGAGUAUGACAAACAGACAGGUGUUACCAAUUUGCACAUUAGAUUUUUUUUCUUGGCUGUUUUCUUCAGUGUAAGAAUACAGGUGGUCUGGGCAGGGAUCAGAGUUCUGUUGUAUGGAGCAUAGAAUGAGAAUCAUUAACAGUUCAAAUUGUUUCCAGUUUCUGUUCUAGAAUCAAACGCAGAUUAUGAGCUCUAGCUGAUCUCCCUCAUGUGAACUGAUCUGCUCCAUGUGUUCUUUGUCCUUUCUCCUAAAUGUCUUUCAUUUCUUUGAGAUAUUCAUCUAGUGCUAGCACUCGUGUCUGUGUCUGAUUUCUUCCAGUAUCUUUUGAACGUAAUGGUCAAUUUCAAUUGAAUAGAUGCCUCAAGGAUGUCUCAGAAGUUUCCUGAGAACAGGUGGCUGCCGAAGAAGGCAGAUGCCGUUCAUGGACUUGGUGAAAGAAAAGCUACAACGUAGGCUGUGUUGGAUAUAGGAAAAUCUAAUUGGAAUUUUCCCUCUUGUUAGAUUCCAGAGAACGAAUCCACUGAUUGCAGAGGUCUCACUGUCCUCCAAAACAGCGGAGGGGAGAGGAGGAAGGGCUAUUGCAGUGUCCAGCGGUACUAGGCUAUGGGAAAAAAGAACUUCAUUGUAUUAUGGAUGACUUGAAUGGAAAAACCAGAAGAGGUCCAGCAGUACUCUCCUACCACUUCUCCUUAAUCAGUCGUUGACAACGGAACCUCUGCUUUCUACUGGACCUUUGCCAGAAACCAAUUACAUGGAAACCUGCACAAGUGAUUCUCAUCUCUGGAGGCAUCGCUGCCUAUCCGUUCCCUUUAGUUUCUUUUUUAAAGACUUGUAUGGGAGUGACGGCUGUUGUAGUAGAAUUUAAUGACCCGGAUGGCUCCGGAUGUUAACG
ensembl:lncRNA